UGUGAAUGGCCAGCCACAUGACAUAUCCAAAAGAACUGUGGAUUUGGAUGUAAGCAAACACAGAGUCGGAUCCUGCUUCUACUACCAACUGGCCAAAGCAUAGUGAUGUGGGGUAAGUGAGCAGAAUUGGUUCCAGAAGCCAGAAAUUGACAGAAGAAUGCAAAUGCUGAACUCAUGCCCAAGCAACCUUUCAAAAAAGAGUUACAUGAUCAAACUGUUUCCUCUCCAUCACGUAAAAUUGCCUUUAUACCCUUCAAAACCAAGCCUGGAGUCCCAAAUUCCCUGGAUGCUCUCCUCUUCAGGAA